rnacentral:rRNA from 1 species
CUUGGUCAUUUAGAGGAAGUAAAAGUCGUAACAAGGUCUCCGUUGGUGAACCAGCGGAGGGAUCAUUACCGAGUUUACAACUCCCAAACCCAAUGUGAACCAUACCAAACUGUUGCCUCGGCGGGGUCACGCCCCGGGUGCGUCGCAGCCCCGGAACCAGGCGCCCGCCGGAGGGACCAACCAAACUCUUUCUGUAGUCCCCUCGCGGACGUUAUUUCUUACAGCUCUGAGCAAAAAUUCAAAAUGAAUCAAAACUUUCAACAACGGAUCUCUUGGUUCUGGCAUCGAUGAAGAACGCAGCGAAAUGCGAUAAGUAAUGUGGAUUGCAGAAUUCAGUGAAUCAUCGAAUCUUUGAACGCACAUUGCGCCCGCCAGUAUUCUGGCGGGCAUGCCUGUCCGAGCGUCAUUUCAACCCUCGAACCCCUCCGGGGGGUCGGCGUUGGGGAUCGGGAACCCCUAAGACGGGAUCCCGGCCCCGAAAUACAGUGGCGGUCUCGCCGCAGCCUCUCCUGCGCAGUAGUUUGCACAACUCGCACCGGGAGCGCGGCGCGUCCACGUCCGUAAAACACCCAACUUUCUGAAAUGUUGACCUCGGAUCAGGUAGGAAUACCCGCUGAACUUAAGCAUAUCAAUAAGCGGAGGA